UUUCUUUUUCAGUCUGAGACAAUCAUCCAGUCUUUCUUCUUUGUCUCAGAGGCUAUGUUUUAUUGAAUUAUAUUGUGGAGCACAAAACAGGUGUUAUCUGAACUUUAUUUUUAUUUUAAUGUAGUAUUUUUUUCAGAUAGAUGCUCUUUCUUGAUUUCAAUGUGAUCUGUGUUUGUUUUGCAGAAUGUUUUUAUAGAUUCUGUAUUGUUUAUCCAUCCUUGAAUAUGAAGGGAUUGAUUUAGGCCCUGUAUUAGGUCUAAACCAGUUAAAGCAAAAGCCUGAGCGUGAAGAAAAAUAAAAUCUGAGGGAAGAACUGUGCUUCUUUGGACCUCACCAGAAUUAUUUGGAGUGUUUUGAAAUGUUUUAAAGGAAAUUCUGCCUUGCCUAGGGCUGGAGUGAGGGCUGCCAGUGAAGAGAGCCGAUCAAUAUGGGAGCCAUCCCAGCUCUGCCUGAAAGGCUGGGCUGAUGAGAGGAAAUGGCUUAUCAGUUCCUUCUACAAUCUGGAAAAGAAACCAUUUGUGGAAUCAAUGGAUGCCUGGCAGAACCUGUCAACUGUAGUUCAAAGAUACAUAUCUUCAUUAUCACCAGAUACCUGAGUCAGAAGAUACCUCAGUUCCACAGCCCAGCGCACUGUCCCAGGCAAAUGCACCACCCCGAUGAGAAAAUUGAUGCCUAAAGAGAAGCUAUCCAAGGUCACCCAGGGAGUAAGUGGUAGAGCAAAGACUCGAACCCAGACACUGGAGUCCAGAGUCCAGCCUUCUUCACCGUGUCAGGAGAACCCCUCCGAAACGAUCACUGAAGAUCUUAUGCUUACUCAAAGCUUUGGCAUUGCAAUGCCCCUAAGACCUUCGACUCUAGACCCUACCACAGUCCAGCUGCCAGAUGUGGACACUAGGGUGACCUGGAAACCAUGUGUUGCUGGCAGAGCCUCCAUGGGGCUGGGUCCCUGAAUGACCGCAUGGAGUACACACAAACACACACCACCCCCCUCAACAUGUGAGCAAGAAAUAAACUUCAAUUAUGUUAAGAUACU
ensembl:lncRNA